GACGAACGCUGGCGGCGUGCUUAACACAUGCAAGUCGAACGGAGUGGCGAACGGGUGAGUAACACGUGGGUGAUCUGCCUUGCACUUCGGGAUAAGCUUGGGAAACUGGGUCUAAUACCGGAUAGUGCAAGAUGAGCUCGCGGCCUAUCAGCUUGUUGGUGGGGUAAUGGCCUACCAAGGCGUCGACGGGUAGCCGGCCUGAGAGGGUGUACGGCCACAUUGGGACUGUGAGACGGCCCAGACGGCGACGGGAGGCAGCAGUGGGGAAUAGUGGACAAUGGGCGGAAGCCUGAUGCAGCGACUGCGGGUGGGGGAGGAAGGCUUUCGGGUGGUAAACUCCUUUCGAAAGGGACGCGGUACCUGGAUAAGAAGCACCGGCUAACUACGUGCCAGCAGCCGCGGUAAUUC
rnacentral:rRNA from 1 species